rnacentral:rRNA from 3 species
AGACCCGAAACCCGGUGAUCUAGCCAUGGGCAGGUUGAAGGUUGGGUAACACUAACUGGAGGACCGAACCGACUAAUGUUGAAAAAUUAGCGGAUGACCUGUGGCUGGGGGUGAAAGGCCAAUCAAACCGGGAGAUAGCUGGUUCUCCCCGAAAGCUAUUUAGGUAGCGCCUCGUGAAUUCAUCUCCGGGGGUAGAGCACUGUUUCGGCUAGGGGGCCAUCCCGGCUUACCAACCCGAUGCAAACUGCGAAUACCGGAGAAUGUUAUCACGGGAGACACACGGCGGGUGCUAACGUCCGUCGUGAAGAGGGAAACAACCCAGACCGCCAGCUAAGGUCCCAAAGUCAUGGUUAAGUGGGAAACGAUGUGGGAAGGCCCAGACAGCCAGGAUGUUGGCUUAGAAGCAGCCAUCAUUUAAAGAAAGCGUAAUAGCUCACUGGUCGAGUCGGCCUGCGCGGAAGAUGUAACGGGGCUAAACCAUGCACCGAAGCUGCGGCAGCGACACUCAGGUGUUGUUGGGUAGGGGAGCGUUCUGUAAGCCUGUGAAGGUGGCCUGUGAGGGUUGCUGGAGGUAUCAGA